AGGCGGCGUGUAUACUACACCAAGGAGCGAUACAUGACAUGAAGCAAGCAAGCGAGCAGGUGUACACAGCGACCUGCUACUACACUAAUAGCCUUGACAGAGCACCGGGGCCGGCUCGACAGGGCAUUCGGCCGCCGGCGGACCCUGGAUGUGCGCGAUGGAGAUGAACCCCGCGUCGUCGCCUCUGCAGCCUGGAUAGAGCUCCGUCAGUGCUGGUGAUGAACCCCACGUCUGUGCUGGUGAUGGCGCUGUCCAUCUACUUUCUCCACUGGCUGUCAGACAAUAGAGAUCACAUUGUGGAUUUAUGUUUUCUUCAGAGUGUUCUCCCGUCAUUGUUGGAUGUCGAAUUUGUAAGGCAAUCCGUCUCUGUGUCGAUGUCUUAACCACUUCGUACUUCCGCACAAUUAGCAGAACAGAGCAGUUGCCGCAAUUUACCCAUUGAUUUCUUGGACUGAUUCAGACCUAGGAAAGCCUGCUACUUGUGCAAGCAAUAGGUUGUGCUAAUACUUUGUGUGCACUUCAGCGGGAAUGAAAUUUUCUUGCUACCAUGUGUCAUGGUAGUAGGUUGCUGCGGCAAAAAACUGAAACCACUUCAACUAGCCUAGGACCAUCUCUGGUCCAACGCGCGAGGUGCCUACCGAGUGCCUCCCCAGCUUAACGGUCCCAAACCUAAGGUGAGUCCCUCUUCCACCCAUCCAUCCUUGCAUGUUGUCGCCGUCGGAUACGGGAGGCCGCCGAUUGCGUCGCUAGGCCAGACUAGAAGUGAAGCUCGCCUUUGAGUUUUAGGUUGGAUGGUGAACUCGGUAGCUUAUAGAUUGUGGUUGUCCUUUUUGAUCAGUGUAUUGAUGCAGUUGCGCCACUAUAUAUUGUUUUCCUGCAAGUGGUCUUUGGGUCGGUGAACAUUAAAACAUUGUCAGAAGGAUGGAAUCAGUAAUAAUGUUGAUCCUUGCUUGGUGUCAGAUUACUUCAGGUGACAACGGGUGUAGCUUGCUAACUAUUUUAUUGUCAGUUCCUCACUCACGGAUGUCUCGGGCUGUUGAUUUUUUCAGGCUUAUUCUGGACAUAGAUUUAUCCUGUUCAUAUGUUUAAAUAAAAUAGUUAAAGAUCAUGUCUAUGCUUCGUAUGAAAUAAAAUAUGGGAUGUGCUUUUGAAUCUGCAAUAUUUUCAGCCUAUAGGAUUUACUUCUUUCAGCUCUUGGUUGUAUGCCUAAACAGAAUAACCGAAGUUCGAAUUUAUGUGUGGUAACAAACUAAAUAUGAUAAGCAUUUGUCAUGUUCUAAGAAAUAGUAUAUUGUAAAGAAUCGGGUGAAUUUUGCACUUCCAUUUCUGGGUGUGUUGUUUCAGGAUUUUGUAGGUUCCUGUUUAUAUUUCUGUAUGCCUUGUGGUUUGAAAUAGUGAUGCUUCUCAAGUUGUUUUGUUUGCAGGUCUGGCAAUAUUUAUUUGCGCCUAGCUCCUAACAUGCAUGGAUCCAUCAUUUUAUUAUUUUGUCAUCUCAUGUAGUUUCACAUGAUGUUAGAGUUCAUCGUCCGAAUUGUUAAUUAGGUGGUAGCUUUGUCAAAAUAAUAAUUAUUAGAAGCUCAGAACCGUGAGAGAUCGAUGGUAUUUCCAAACUGGAAUGACAAUGCUAAGACUAAAUUUGACAUUCAAGUGGAAAUCAUGUUGGUAUUUGGUGCAUGACAAGGUGCAGAUUUCCUAACUUCUGCAAUAUGGUUUACUUGGUUUGUGCUGAUCUGCUGAAGUCUUUGUUCAGCGAUUGGAUACGAAGUCUACUCAGCAGGAGGAGCAUGAACAGUUGUGAAGGAGAACCCCACUGCCUUGGACCAGGUUGCUGAACCAGAAGCAGAAGGUGCGAGGGGCACUGUUCAGUAUCUUUAGGAAUGAAGCCAUGAGGAUGCUACCUAUUCUUUCCUUUCAAGUAUCCGGCACUACGAGCUGCAUUAGCUUCACCUCAGGAUGUUGAAAGAGGAAGUAGGAGUUUUCAGAAAUGAUAAUCUACAAACACAGUACAUGUUCGUUGAUUAACGAAGACAAGGGCCCUACAACUCAACUGUUGUAACACCUAUUUUUACAAUGUAGGGUAUGAACUACUUGGCUUUAUUUUUAACUUAUGUACUGAUGUAGAAUGAUGGCUCCUGUUUCUUACUCGCUGGUAUGAGCUUUUUUGUUGUAUUUUGUAAAGCUCAUGUAUUUACUCAUCUAUGCUAACUAGCAUUGCUACAACAUUUGUAUACUCUAAUAAUUAUACUUCCCUUGCCGUUGGCAGGGCUUUUUUUUGUAUAAUUGCUCAUACUUAUCAAUGUUGAAGCUACAUAUAUUAGAGGCACUUAUUACAUUGCGUUGGAUGCAAGCUGUUGUUCUGCUAGCUGGUACCUCUUAUGAA